AGAAUCAACGCUGGCGGCGUGCCUAACACAUGCAAGUCGCACGAGAAAGGGUAGCAAUACCUGAGGUAAAGUGGCGCACGGGUGAGUAACACGUGAAUAAUCUACCUCCGAGUGGGGAAUAACUGAGAGAAAUCUUAGCUAAUACCGCAUAACACUUACGAGUCAAAGCAGCAAUGCGCUUGGAGAGGAGUUCGCGGCCGAUUAGUUAGUUGGCGGGGUAAUGGCCCACCAAGACGAUGAUCGGUA
rnacentral:rRNA from 1 species